GUGCUCGCUUGGGCAGUACAUAUACUAAAAUUGGGAUAAUACAGAGAAAAUUAGCAUGGUGACAUGCGCAAGGGUGACAUGCAAAUUCGUGAAAUGUUCCAUAUUAAA